rnacentral:lncRNA from 1 species
AUCAAGUCUGUGUGCUAAAUACAGGAAAAGCCUUGAUAGGAGACCCUGCUACCGAUUUGUAGGAAAUAGGACAAAAAAAAAAAAACAAAAACACAACACUUUGAACUUCCACUGUUGAGUAUGCAAACAGCAAAAUCCAGACUAUAGGGAAGUCAGAUCACUUGAACUCAGGAGUUUGAGACUAGCCUAAGCAACUUAGCAAAAACCCUACUCAACAAAAAAUACAAAACUUAGCUGGGCAUGGUGGCUUGCACCUGUAGUCCCAACUACUCAGGAGGCUGAGGUGGGAGGAUCACUUGAACCUGGGAGAUGGAGGUUGCAAUGAGCCGAGAUCUGUCAGCCUGGGUGACAGAGCGAGACUCCGUCUCAAAAAAAAAAAAAAAAAAAAGAGAAGGAAGUUCUAUGGGCCAACGGGAAAAAGU